rnacentral:rRNA from 1 species
UAUCUCGAAAAUAAAAGAUCUAAAGAAUUUUUUCAGUUUUUGUUUCAAUAAAAUUGUCUAAAUUUCUUUAGUGAUAAAAUGUUAAUCGAUUUUAUUAAUAUCUAGUAAUUCCAGAAAUAAAUUUAGUUUAAAAUAUUAGGAGAUUCUUAACUUUAAUAUAUUUUUAGGCUUUAGGGGAUGAGCUCUAAAGGCAAUUUAUAAGAAUAAAACAUUUGUAAUUCUUUUUUAGGCUUAGAAUUAGCUAUAUGAUAGUGUUUUAAGAUAAGAGCUAAAGGUUAUGAUUUUAUAUUCUUUCAUUAAAAUGGAAUUAUUUUUAAAAUUAGGUUUUUGAAGAAAAUAUGAUAAUAUUAGUAGAAGGUAAUUUAAAUUAUCCUUUAAUUAUUUGGCUAAAAACUAUAAUAAAAGAAUUCGGCAAAUAGGAUUUCCGAAUGUUUAACAAAAACAUUUCCUCUUGGAAUAUGAGGUAAGGCCUGCUCACUGAAUAGUUAAAGAGCCGCAGUAUACUGACUGUGCUAAGGUAGCAUAAUCAUUUGCCUUUUAAUUGAGGGCUGGUAUGAAUGGCUAAACGAGAGAUCGGCUUUUUUUAUUAUAAAUAUUUAAUUUAACUUUUUAGUGAAAAGGCUAAAGUUUAUCAGAAAGACGAGAAGACCCUAUAGAGUUUCAUAAGUGGAGGACUUACAUUUAAAUAGAUUUUUAUAAAUAUAAGUUUAGGGGCUUAUUUUGUUGGGGCGACAUUAAGAUAAAAAAAACUCUUUAUUUUUAUAACUUUUAUUAAAGGAAAAUAUAUUGAUCCUCUAGAAGAGAUCAUAAGAAAAAAUUACCUUAGGGAUAACAGCGUAAUCUUUUUUGAGAGUUCUAAUCGACAAAAAGGUUUGCGACCU